ACAGAGAUCCACUUGUCUCUACCUCCUGAGUGUUGGGAUUAAAGGCGUGCGCCACCACCAACGGCUUCAAGUUUCUUAAGUAGAUCUUUGGGCCUCUGUCCUGCCACUCACAAGGACAGAGCACUUCAGUGGCCAGGCUAGGACACAGCAGCUCAUAAUCAGCUGCGGCUUUUAUCCCCACCAUAUAUCAGGCUAUCCAGGAGUAACCACAGGCAAAUGACAGCUAUAGUCUACCUACUUCAUAACCUGCUCCCUCUCCUGGCUAAGACCAGUGGGCAUGGACGCCAAAAGAGCAAGGGUCAGAGCAAGGGCAGAUUCCAGAUCUGAACCAGAUAUUCCCAGGGAACAGUCCCCUCCCAACCUGCCCCACCCAACCCAGGGCCACAGAGUCUACUGGUCACGGUCACGUUGGAGUGGUAAAGGAAGAAGACACUCACCAGAAUUUUCCCUUUCCUGUUUUCAAACUGCUAUUGAUUUUGGGGAACCGGACGGUGGAGAAUGGUGCUGCUGAUGAUGGGGAGAAGGGGCCACUCAGUCUGGCUCCAGAAGGACCUUUGGGAGAUGGAUGUGUGAAGAGCCUACUUUGGACAGCACUUCACACAGUAAAGGGUGGUCCACACCCCUCCUCAGCCCCCAA